UUUCAUGCAGUUAUAUAUAGCUUUUGGUUGUCUUUUCCAGUGACAUUUAUACCUUUGGCUUACUUUUUGUCACACUGCCUCUUUCUUGUCAAUUUGCAUGAGCUGUUUCUAUUUUUGUCAUGUUGCAUGUUGUCUCACUGACCUAGUCUUGGGAGUCACUCUUCGUUAUUUCUGCAACGUCCUUCCAGUUACACCAGCGAGGCUUACUUAGUGUGGGAGGGACGCGAGCUCCAAGGAUCAGGGACUGUGAGGCUGUCUGUGAGGCUGGCUACCACGGAAGUUGCAAAUAGGGAUGAUUUUCCUACUUUUGUUCCUUAUCUUCUGACCUUUAACAGGUCAUUUUCUACAGAUCUGUCAGUCUUUUUAUUUGUACUUUUUAAAUUGGUAUUUUGCUAAGGAAGGCCUUCUUUACCUCAAGAUUGUAAAAAUUCUGGGGAAUCUUUGAGAACAAGCAUCCGAGAGUCAUUUUUCUGAUCUUUCUUCAUUUGCACUGGAGUGGCGAUGCCAGGCUCUCAGAGGGUGUCCCAUGCACGAUUUCUCCUCACCCUCGGAACAAACCUAGCAGACACCAUAGCACCUGGCAUGACGGCUGACUCCUUCUCCCAGAACUAACUAUGGGAAAGCCACAGAUGGAAGAGGGAAGUGUGGACGUGAGGAGCAUGAGCGCCUAGAGAAGCCAGGGAGCGGCAGGACCGCCAUGAGUCGCCUUCAGCAGUAAAGCACCUCCCUGUGUCUAUGGAAGUGUCUUCCACGCUCACCUGAUAGAGUUCGGAAGCAGAACACACAGCCCGUGCAGCCGUCCGCAAAGCCGCUUCUGUCUCAGCACCAGCUCAUCAGGGCAGCCCAGCACUCGGGCAGCUCCGCCUUGGGGAGAGUCCACACAAAUGUGCUUCACUUUUAAAUACUCAACAGAGGAAGAGAUCAGGACACUUCUGGAAGAUUGGCUGGGUUGCGGCAGAUGGUUUUGGUAAAUGCCAGACCUUUAACUCAGUGAAACGGCAAAGUCGGGAAGAAGAACCCACUGGCAGUGUUUGGAGUCACCCUCAGCCAUGGACAUGAACUCAGGGACGGAUGGUGCUGGCACCUUCAUGAGCAGAGCUGGUCCCAAACAGCAGGAGAAAUCGUUGGAAGGGUGACUUCCCCAGAGCUCCCGGGAAUACUGGAAUUCAGGCCUCUCACCCCAGCAUUGCGUAAGGUGUAUAAUUAACUGAAUAUACACAACACACACAGACGCUUAAAUCUGGGGACUUUCCUUUAACACUGAAGAUAUCUGGUUACUCACUGCAGAUAUCCUCGCACCAUCCCAGAGGUGACCAAUGCCCUAUUUUCCUUCUGGGGUGACAUGAGUUCUUGGGGGCACUUCCCUCUGGGCUCAGGUAUUCUUAUUUCUAAGGCUCCACUUUCUGCUCCCAUCUUCAGACGCACCCAGGGAAACUCUCUGGGCUUUGUCGUAAAUGAAUGGCCUCUCUCCUUUAUGACCCUGGUCUCACCCUCCUGCCUUCCAGGUGGCCAUGGGAUGCCCGUCCUCUUUCUCACCCAGACUCUCUCUCAGGCCCCGGUGUGAGCUGCAUCUUCUGAGGCCGCCGUCUCCCUGCUCCUGUGUGAUUUGCUGCUUCUCCUGUUGUCUGGGAGUCUCACUCUGUCACCCAGGCUGGAGUGCAG
rnacentral:lncRNA from 1 species